AAGGUGUUUGUUUAUUUCACUGUUACCACUGUUUAUUUGACAAUAAUUGAUUUAGUCUAUAAGUUUAAGACAAACAUACUGAUACAUUUGCUUUUCUUCAGAAAUCAUACUUAUAAAAAUUACAUAAAGUCUGUCCCAAACCUCCUAAGAAAUGUCCAUUAAUUAAAAAUAAGUCUGAUUAAGAUGCUUUGCCAGGAUACAAGAGUGAACUAAGGUGGUGUACAAUGUUUUUUAAAAAAAAAAACAAUUAAAAAAAAAAAAACUCAAAAUGGCAAUCUCACCUUGUUUGAGCAAUGUAUUUUGAAAGGGUUAAACUUCAGGAAGUUCAGUUCAGUUCAGUUCAGUUCAGUCGCUCAGUCGUGUCCGACUCUUUGCAACCCCAUGAAUCGCAGCACGCCAGGCCUCCCUGUCCAUCACCAACUCCCGGAGUUCACUCAGAC
rnacentral:lncRNA from 1 species